UUCACCAGUUAUUCAGUUUGCCGUGUAGUGCCGAGCACAGUAACGUCAGAGAUAAUCAAUCUGCUGUUUAUUCAACUUCAAUCAAAAGAAGGUAAUAUAUGCAUUGCAAUAAAUUACAUGCAUUGUUUUCAUGUGUUUAUAUUGCAUUAUUGCAACAAGUAGGUAGCCUGUUUAACUACAGGGCUAUGGGCUAAGACAAAAAACACCAAGUUAAAUAAGCUGGAGAUGGAGAGAGGAACUUCAUGUUCUCCUAGUCUUAACUGUAAUUUAUGAAUUUAAAAUGUUAGAUUUUCAAUACUUCCGAUUUUUACGUGUUACAUUAAUUUUCACUUUUCAUAACCUAUUGACCUGUAAUCCUCAUGCACUGAUCCAGGAAUACAACACGAUACUCACUAAGGAUGAAGAUGACCUGCGGUUGCUCUUGCAGGUUGUUUCUAAUCAUCGUCAGCUACAUCCUUCUACAAGGAAGGCUGAACUCAGCCAACCAACACAGGACUGUGUAUUAAAACAGAGUUUGUUUCUCCUGGGGAACCGCCCAUCGCCCCCCCGUCACAGCAGCCAUGAAGCCAUCUACUGAGCCCUGACAGAAUUCCUUUUCUGCUUUUUCCGACGGCAUCUCAAAAGUCAUGCAGAGACAUGCUCAUUCUGGCUGUGGCGGAGGCACUGCAGGACAGUUAGGAGCAAGGCACAGGCGAUGAUCUCCGUUACUGCUCCUGGUCACCACAGAAAGGCAGCCCAGAACAAAGGUGAUUUAUACAAAGGAGGAGGACU